CACGUAGGGCGCAAGCGUUGUCCGGAAUUAUUGGGCGUAAAGAGCUCGUAGGCGGUCUGUUGCGUCCGCUGUGAAAACUCGGGGCUUAACCCCGAGCCUGCAGUGGAUACGGGCAGACUAGAGGUAGGUAGGGGAGAAUGGAAUUCCCGGUGUAGCGGUGAAAUGCGCAGAUAUCGGAAGGAACACCGGUGGCGAAGGCGGUUCUCUGGGCAUUACCUGACGCUGAGGAGCGAAAGUGUGGGG
rnacentral:rRNA from 1 species